rnacentral:rRNA from 1 species
CUGCGAAUGGCUCAUUAAAUCAGUUAUGAUCUACGUGACAAAUUCUUUACUACUUGGAUAACCGUGGUAAUUCUAGAGCUAAUACAUGCAAAAAAGCCCUGACUCACGAAGGGGUGCACUUAUUAGAUAAAACCAACGCGGGGUAAAACCUGUUUCUUGGUGAAUCAUAAUAAUUAAGCGGAUCGCAUGGCCUUGAGCCGGCGACGGUCCACUCGAUUUUCUGCCCUAUCAUGGUUGAGAUUGUAAGAUAGAGGCUUACAAUGCCUAUAACGGGUAACGGGGAAUUAGGGUUCGAUUCCGGAGAGGGAGCCUGAGAAACGGCUACCACAUCCAAGGAAGGCAGCAGGCGCGCAAAUUACCCAAUCCCGACACGGGGAGGUAGUGACAAUACAUAACAAUGCAGGGCCUUUAAGGUCUUGCAAUUGGAAUGAGUACAAUUUAAAUCCCUUAACGAGGAUCAAUUGGAGGGCAAGUCUGGUGCCAGCAGCCGCGGUAAUUCCAGCUCCAAUAGCGUAUAUUAAAGUUGUUGCAGUUAAAACGUCCGUAGUCAAACUUUAGUCUUACCGGCGCGGUGGCCUGGUCUUCAUUGACCAAGCUCGCUGCUGCUGGAGACUCCAUGUCCGCUGACUCCUAGUCCUCGUGGCUAGGGUUUUGUGGACAAUUACCAUGAGCAAAUCAGAGUGUUUAAAGCAGGCUUUUAAGCUUGAAUGUGUUAGCAUGGAAUAAUGAAAUAUGACUUUAGUCCUAUUUUCGUUGGUUUAGGUACUAUAGUAAUGAUUAAUAGAAACGGUUGGGGGCAUUUGUAUUUGGCCGCUAGAGGUGAAAUUCUUGGAUUGGCCGAAGACAAACUACUGCGAAAGCAUUUGACCCAGGACGUUUUCAUUGAUCAAGGUCUAAAGUUAAGGGAUCGAAGACGAUUAGAUACCGUCGUAGUCUUAACCACAAACUAUGCCGACUAGAGAUUGGGCGUGUUUAUUAUGACUCGCUCAGCAUCUUAGCGAA